ACAACUGCAAAACGGCAAAUUAUCGGUAAUUAUGUUUGUAGUUUUUCAAUAUUUCCCUUUUAGCUAAAGUCUUCAAAUUUCUACACCAAAUAGCAUUUUUCAAUAGCUUCAAUUUGAUAUAUAGCCCAACGUUCAGUGUUGAGUAUUUCUGCUCAUAACUCAGAAAAACUAAAAUGCACUGGCUUCAAUUUCCCCCCCUGAGUUAGCCUUCCAGUUUAUUUAUAGUUCAAUGGUUCACCUUCAGUUUGUCUCUAUUCCACCCCUAACCUGCGAACGGGCAUGCUCUGGGUAUGAGAUUGGGCAAUACCCAGAUAUGUUUGAUACAAUACUGAUUUUUGAGAUCAUUAUCA